rnacentral:rRNA from 1 species
GACGAACCGUGCGAACGUUGUUCGGAAUCACUGGGCUUAAAGGGCGCGUAGGCGGCUUCGCAAGUCCGGGGUGAAAGCCUCCAGCUCAACUGGAGAAGUGCCUUGGAUACUGCAGAGCUUGAGGGAGGUAGGGGUCGAGGGAACUUCUGGUGGAGCGGUGAAAUGCGUUGAUAUCAGAAGGAACGCCGGUGGCGAAAGCGCUCGGACUGGACCUCUUCUGACGCUGAGGCGCGAAAGCCAGGGGAGCAA